rnacentral:rRNA from 1 species
GCAAGUCGAGCGCGCCCUUCGGGGUGAGCGGCGGACGGGUGAGUAACGCGUGGGAAUAUGCCCUUCUCUAAGGAAUAGCCUCGGGAAACUGAGAGUAAUACCGUAUACGCCCUUUUGGGGAAAGAUUUAUCGGUGAAGGAUUGGCCCGCGUUAGAUUAGAUAGUUGGUGGGGUAAUGGCUCACCAAGGCGACGAUCUAUAGCUGGUUUGAGAGGAUGAUC